AGCAGCCGCGGUAAUUCCAGCUCCAAUAGCGUAUAUUAAAGUUGUUGCAGUUAAAAAGCUCGUAGUUGAAUUUCGGGAUUUGCACAUCGGUCGUGCCUUAGGGGGUAUGAACUGGUGUAGUGAAUUUCUCACCUUCUGGAGAACCGUGAUGUCCUUAAUUGGGUGCCACGAGGAACCAGGACCUUUACUUUGAAAAAUUAGAGUGUUUAAAGCAGGCAUUUUUGCUUGAAUACAUUAGCAUGGAAUAAUAAAAUAGGACGGCAUGAUUCUAUUUUGUUGGUUUCUAGGAUCACCGUAAUGAUUAAUAGGGAUAGUUGGGGGCAUUAGUAUUCAAUUGUCAGAGGUGAAAUUCUUGGAUUUAUUGAAGACUAACUACUGCGAAAGCAUUUGCCAAGGAUGUUUUCAUUAAUCAAGAACGAAAGUUAGGGGAUCGAAGACGAUCAGAUACCGUCGUAGUCUUAACCAUAAACUAUGCCGACUAGGAAUCAGACGAUGUUAAUUUUUAAUGUACUCG
rnacentral:rRNA from 1 species